AUGAUGCAGCUCGGAGGCGGCAGCUGCUGCUCACGGAGGUGCGCCUUGAGCGGCUCCCGAAGCGCGGCGCAUGCCUCCAAGAAGUUCGACAGCAGAUCCUGCGAUUGGAUCAUGUCGACGGUCUCGCACCCGUCCGGUAGGCCAAACUUGGCUGCCGGGAAAUGGAGCUCCACGAGCCGGACCGCCAGGCCUGUCUCCUCCACGUGGGCGGCAAAGCUCGCCAACCUGGACGCGUUCACUGGCGUGGUGAUGAAGGUGACCUGCGCGCCGUGCUCGGCCAGCAGGCUCGCCAUGUCGGUCAUGGGGAUUAUGUGA
rnacentral:rRNA from 1 species